GAUGAACGCUAGCGGCAGGCCUAAUACAUGCAAGUUGAGCGGCAAGUCGAGGAGUAAUCUAAGACCUAGAGCGGCGCACGGGUGCGUAACGCGUAUGUAACCUACCCUAUACAGGGGGAUAGCCCGGAGAAAUCUGGAUUAAUACCCCAUGGCACUUCGAAUCAGCAUUGAUUUGCAGUUAAAGAUUUAUCGGUAUAGGAUGGACAUGCGUCUGAUUAGCUAGUUGGCGGUGUAACGGACCACCAAGGCGACGAUCAGUAGGGGUUCUGAGAGGAAGGUCCCCACACUGGCACUGAGAUACGGGCCAGACUCCUACGGGAGGCAGCAGUGAGGAAUAUUGG
rnacentral:rRNA from 1 species